AAGACUAUAGACCUGCGGAGUACCUGCGGAAGGAUCAUUAACGAAUAACUAUGGUGUUGGUUGUCGCUGGCUCCUAGGAGCAUUGUGCACGCCCGCCAUUUUUAUCUUUCCACCUGUGCACUUAGUGUAGAUCUGGAUACCACUCGCUUUCCCAAGCGGACUCAGAGAUUGCUGUGUCGCAAGACCCGGCUCUCUUUGAAUUUCCAGGUCUAUGUCUUUUUUACACACCCCAAUUGAAUG
rnacentral:misc_RNA from 1 species